rnacentral:ncRNA from 1 species
GAUAGCCCGCUGUCGCUACGGUGAUUGGACACUGACAGAGAGUCAACUAGCCUUGUGCGCGCGGUUCUUCGCGCGCAGAACCGAGGGUGGUCCGAGUCACGAGGGGGGAGGCUCGGACCACCUGCC